AGAGUUUGAUCAUGGCUCAGAAUCAACGCUGGCGGCGCGCUUAACACAUGCAAGUCGAACGAGAAAGUGGAGCAAUCCAUGAGUACAGUGGCGUACGGGUGAGUAACACGUGGGUGAUCUACCUCUUAGUGAGGAAUAACCCUGGGAACCGGGGCUAAUACCGCAUGAGCCUGAGAAGGGAAAGUCGCAAGACGCUGAGAGAGGAGCCCGCGGCCGAUUAGCUAGUUGGUAGGGUAAGAGCCUACCAAGGCAUAGAUCGGUAGCCGGCCUGAGAGGGCACACGGCCACACUGGCACUGAAACACGGGCCAGACUCCUACGGGAGGCAGCAGUGGGGAAUCUUGCACAAUGGGGGAAACCCUGAUGCAGCGACGCCGCGUGAGCGAUGAAGCCCCUCGGGGUGUAAAGCUCUUUCGGCAGGGAAGAUUAUGACGGUACCUGCAGAAGCAGCUGCGGCUAACUACGUGCCAGCAGCCGCGGUAAUACGUAGGCAGCGAGCGUUGUUCGGUGUUACUGGGCGUAAAGGGUGUGUAGGCGGUUCUUUAAGUUUGGUGUGAAAUCUCCCGGCUUAACCGGGAGGGUGCGCCGAAUACUGAGGGACUAGAGUACGGGAGAGGAAAGUGGAAUUCCUGGUGUAGCGGUGAAAUGCGUAGAUAUCAGGAGGAACACCGGUGGUGUAGACGGCUUUCUGGACCGUAACUGACGCUGAGACACGAAAGCGUGGGUAGCAAACAGGAUUAGAUACCCUAGUAGUCC
rnacentral:rRNA from 1 species